rnacentral:rRNA from 1 species
CCUCAGUGCCAUCCAAAAAGAANCCUUCGUUGGUUGACCUUGCGGAAGGAUCAUUAUUG